UGACAGCUAUCUUAUCUAUAGCAUUUUAUAUAAAGAUAAUAAUAUAAAAACCGUACAACGAACGAGUAAGCAACAACGCUGAGUGCGCGUUGGUAGAUGGCUAUAUAUACACAAUAAAUUAUCUAGUAGGAGGCACGUAGGUACAUACGAAUCACUCCGCUCCAACCGACCCGUACACAAAACACGAAUGUGCGACGUUGCCAACUCUCAUCGGGCGCCACUACCUACCUACGUAUAACAUAACCCAAGGCGACUGGCAAACAGAGCUGUAUGGUGAGUGUAGAUCAUCGGUUGGUUGCCAGUUAGCACGGAUGGAUCGAUUUAUGUAUUGCGUAUUUGAAUUUAUACACGCUCUAGAAAUAGGAAUUUGAAUAGAUGAAAACAAUUUGCAGAUUUGACAGUAAAGAGCUAUAUUCAAGCACAUGUGACCUGGCCAACUUAACCGAACACAAAGACGACACGAUCUAUGAAUACGAUCACUAUACCGGUCCACAAAAUGCUUUUUCAUGCUACCUUUAAAGGAUCUGAAGUUAUAGGACGAAGGAAACAUGUCACGGCAAAACAAGCAAAUUUACCAGCCCGAUAACGUUGGUAUGCCUACGCGUCACACACACAAUACAAAGCCAGUUACUUGAGUGGAAAGCGACUUAUGUUCUGUCUUGGCUUUGCGACGUUGCAACAUGUCGUCAUUGACGUGCCGUGUCGACCGCCGACCGGUGAGCGAGGUACGUAGGUAGGUAACGAGAGGAGACUCAGCGCGACCACACUUUUUGUAACGCUUUGUUUGUUAUUUUACAUUUACAUCAUUCUAGCAGCAGUAGAAUGGAAGCCGGCAU